rnacentral:lncRNA from 1 species
GCCAUUUUAGCCUACUGAUGUGAGGGCGGAGGGUGCUGUGUGGUUCACAGCAGGGGCAGCGAGCAGCGAGCGGGCACAGAUCAGAGACAGGUGUCAGUGAUACACAAAGCUGCUUCCUGUGAAGUGAGCUGGGAUGAAGCCAACAGGUGAGCUCAGGCUUGGCGCUUUCCCCGAGCUCCUGAAAGGAGACUGUUCGUGAGGGUUUCUCUAAGGGUCUGGAGAAUGAACAAAAGAGGGUGGGACAGGGUGAUCUUUAAGCUCCAGGAUCCAACACUUUCCUGGAGCAACUUUCGUACACACACACACACACACACACACACACACACAGGAGCACACGCCUGGGAUUUUCUAUGCAGCACCAGUCACCAACUCCCGCUGUCCCUGAACUACACCAUCAGCAUUUUCCUGACGCAGUGUUGCAGAAGGCUGAAGGAUUCAGCAUUUCCAGCUUCAGGAGAGGGAAAAAAAAAACAAGACGAAGGGAAAGAAGCUGGCUGGAAAAGAAGAUUUUGCUUAGGUUGCACUGUUCUGGACUUGCAGGGAUGAAAAGGCAGGAGGGGGAGGGGGAAGUGGCAAUAGAAAGGGGAAACCUCUUCCCACCUUAGCCGUAAGUCAACCCCAGCCCCAGCACUUCCUGGCUGCGUG